rnacentral:rRNA from 1 species
AGCGAACGCUGGCGGCAGGCCUAACACAUGCAAGUCGAACGAAGUCUUCGGACUUAGUGGCGGACGGGUGAGUGACACGUGGGAACGUGCCUUUAGGUUCGGAAUAACUCAGGGAAACUUGUGCUAAUACCUAAUGUGCCCUUCGGGGGAAAGAUUUAUCGCCUUUAGAGCGGCCCGCGUCUGAUUAGCUAGUUGGUGAGGUAAAGGCUCACCAAGGCUACGAUCAGUAGCUGGUCUGAGAGGAUGACCAGCCACAUUGGGACUGAGACACGGCCCAAACUCCUACGGGAGGCAGCAGUGGGGAAUCUUGCGCAAUGGGCGAAAGCCUGACGCAGCCAUGCCGCGUGGAUGAUGAAGGUCUUAGGAUUGUAAAAUCCUUUCACCGGUGAAGAUAAUGACUGUAGCCGGAGAAGAAGCCCCGGCUAACUUCGUGCCAGCCGCCGCAGUAAAAC